UAAAAGUCCUUUUAAUACAGCAUGAAGAGGCUAUAUUUCUAUAGGCGAGCUGUAUACAGAUUCUCCAGGAAUAAGGCACACAACGGAAUGCCAUCCCAAGGGCUGCACUUCGGAGACGUCGGAGCCUUCUCCACGCACCUUCCGAGCUGGGCCCACGGGUUCUGUUUUGUCUUUUUAGCUGGACUCACACGUAUGGACAGACACAGACACGGACGGGGUCACCGCAUGGGGGCGGAGGAGGUCGGACAGCAAGGUUGGCAACAGAGAAGGAUAAGCCCGCUGCCACAGCCCCCAGGGGACCGCUUGGCCAUCUCGCUGAAGGCUGGAACACCCCCAUUUCAGGAGGCAUAAUGUAGGGGCAAAAUCAAGAGACCCAGUUCUGACAGCCGGGAGAAAGGAAGGGUCAAGACCAUGGAAACGGGGCUUCUCAUCCGGGAGACAGAGGAGCGCACGAUCCCGCCGCCAGCCAGGACAGUGGGCUCCCUGGCCAGGGACGUGCCACGAGGCCUCUCUGCUCCCUUGGGAGGUAGGAAAUUAUUGUCUCCAUUUUAGAAAAGAGGGGUUCUGUGGCUUGUCUCAGGGUUCUCCAUGUCAGGGGCUAGGAGACCAAGGUGAGAAGGAGGGGGCUCCUCCAUGUUUGCAGGGGUGGGGGAUGAAAAGCAAGGCUGGGGCUGCAGGGGCCAGCAGGGGAGGACUCAGCAUCCCUCAGCUUGACUUCCUAAGACACCAAGUGAAGGGUCACGAUGCGGGGUACCUGGCCCCUGGGAGGUUUCUCCCACCAUUCUGGGUGAAACUCCCCAAAUAAAGCUCCAGCACACAGCACCGGCCAGCCUGAAUCCCAGAACAACAGAGCUGAAAUGGGCCCUCUGCUCUCUAGUGUUAUGCUGUCAUUUAACUAAUGGGGAAACUGAGGCCUGGAGAUGCGAAGUCCUUGCCCAAGGUGACACAAUGCGUCGGCAGCAGGGCAAAGACUUGAGCCGAGGUCUCCAGAACACCAGGCUUGUGUCCUUUCUGCUAGAACAGACACGCUGGGCUUCCACACUGGGCCCAGCUAUCUUGAUGUGGACCCCCAGAGUGGGUGGGAGGCAGAGGGGAAGGAAAGGGAGUGGGGCUGACAAAACCUAAGGCAGUCUGGUGGGGGUUGUGGGAGGGGCUGCCCCACGUUCCCCAGGACGCAUCUGUCCAGCAUUCUGUGCCUCCCCUAUGCCUAACCCCUCCUAUCUGGGUCCAUAGGGUGGGGAGGGGGACACACCCAGGUGCAAUGCCAGUGAUGUCAGAGGGGGUCCGGAUUUGGGGCUUAAGGUGGGCAAGGGACAGAGAGGUCCACUCCCCAGCAGCUGUUGGAACACAUGUCCCCUUGCCAUGAUUGCUGACUCAGGAAAGAGGGAUUUCCGAGAGUGGCUUUCCAUACAGGGCAAACCGGAAGGUUCUGGGUGGGGGCAGGCGGCCUGUCUGGUCUGGGGAGGUUUGGGAUUCACAGUAAAUUUAGUGCACCUGUGGCCAAUACAAGGCUGCUCACCCCAAAGAGGCUCUCAGAGGAGAGCCUGUGGGGACACCCAGGGCUCCUGGACAUGGGCUUUUGCUUGCCUUUGUCCCCUCCACUGAGACCCCAGGCCUGCCUGCAAAAAGCCCCAGACUCCCUGCUUUCCCUGGCCUGUUGGGGGCAGCAAUGUCAGUAACACUGUUUGUCAACACACACAAGACAAGGACGCUAAGAGCCCCCGGCCCAGCCCCGCAGGCCUGCGAGGGCACCCCAUGCACAGGGCGACACGCAGCCCAUCGGAGUAGCACAGGGAAGCAGCGUCUCCUCGGGCUGGCGGGGGGUGGCUCUGGGUGCGGGCGGGCAGCCCGUCACUGCACACGACGGCAGUAGUAGCCCAGGACCUUGCACUUCUCGCAGAGGUGCUGCGGGUGCUCCUUGCUCUGGUCGGACACGUCCAGGCCAUCGGGCUUCUCCAGGGGUCUCUGCAGAGAGAAGGAGGAAGGGGCCCAGGGGAGUGAGGGGAGAGAAAGACAGAAACACAGAGACAGACAGGGAGAGACACACAGAGACAGACAGGUGAGACAGGUACACGGGGAGGGGACCAGAC
rnacentral:lncRNA from 1 species